CGGGGAGAGGUGUGUUUGCGGGGGACAGCUUCCAGCCCUGGCUCAGCCUAUCCGGGAGGGGCCUGGUGCAUGCUGGGAAAGGACGCGUGGUCGGUGAGCUGGGUCUCCAGGAGGUCGUAUCCGUGCCCUGGCACUAGUGCGAAGGAGCUGGAGGACAGGACGUCAUGUUGAGGGUGAUGACUGGGAGGAAGGCUGGAAACAGGACAGCAUGAGGGCGCGCGGUCUUUCCUGAUGCCUGGGGCGGGACCGUGGGCAGAGGGAUGCUCGGGUGGGGAGGAAGGGAGCAUCGCUAAGGACGGAGAGUCUCCCGGGGUGACCGGGUGAGCCUCGUGGGCACUGAGGACGGAUCAGAAGAGUGAGGCCUGAGAGAACAACCUCUGCGCGAAAAUCCAGCAGAAACGAUGAAUUUUCUUCCGGGCUUGCGGCAUUUUGGUUUCUGCGGUCUGCAGGUGGCAGUGUUGCUCCAUCCACAGUGUCGCCGGGCCGGUUUUUCCUCUGCUCUCGCGCUUUAAUAAAAGGACAGGAAGCCUUUUCCCACAAGCAGGGGCUGGUUUGGUUUUGUUUUCCUCCGCUUGUGCCGGUUGCCUGAUUCAAACUGCAUCGGAGCCCUUCAGAGAGCCCGUUGUGAGAACUUUGACCGGACCCACUGACACUUAAAAUUACAAUAAAAUAAUAUAAGCUGACGUAGUGAAUGGUAGUGGAGGGAGUAAACCCUCCCUUG